rnacentral:rRNA from 1 species
GAUGAACGCUGGCGGCGUGCCUAAUACAUGCAAGUCGAGCGAACAGACGAGGAGCUUGCUCCUCUGACGUUAGCGGCGGACGGGUGAGUAACACGUGGAUAACCUACCUAUAAGACUGGGAUAACUUCGGGAAACCGGAGCUAAUACCGGAUAAUAUAUUGAACCGCAUGGUUCAAUAGUGAAAGACGGUUUUGCUGUCACUUAUAGAUGGAUCCGCGCCGCAUUAGCUAGUUGGUAAGGUAACGGCUUACCAAGGCGACGAUGCGUAGCCGACCUGAGAGGGUGACCGACCACACUGGAACUGAGACACGGUCCAGACUCCUACGGGAGGAAGCAGUAGGGAAUCUUCCGCAAUGGGCGAAAGCCUGACGGAGCAACGCCGCGUGAGUGAUGAAGGUCUUCGGAUCGUAAAACUCUGUUAUUAGGGAAGAACAAAUGUGUAAGUACCUAUGCACGUCUUGACGGUACCUAAUCAGAAAGCCACGGCUAACUACGUG